CUUUGCUCCAUGUAUGAUUUUGGCAUAUUUGUCAAAUGUCAGAAGGCACUAGGUGUGAUGGAUGCUGUAAGACUGCUUGUUUCCACAUUCAAUGUUGUUGUCAUGUGCCUUCUUCAUAUGUUAACACUGAGGCUAGAUAUAAAUCUUCAACUUCCCCUCAAAAGCCUUAUCAAUAUCAAAAAUGCUAAAAAAUAAAUUGUUAUAAGUGCUGUUACCAACUUGAAGAAAUCUAGACUUACCUGUGAAAAGCCUCUAGUCAUACCCAUAGGAGAUGAUAUUAACCAGGUGAAUUGAGAUUGGAAGACCAUCUACCAUGUGAGGCACAAUUCUAUAGGAUGAGAUUAUGAACUGUUUGAAAAAGGAAAAGUGAGCUGAGCAGAAACCUUCACUCCUAUUUGAUUCCUGGUUGCAGAUAUCAUGCAAAAGCUAGCAUGUUGGACAAUGGGAUAAAAUAUUAGCCAAUUAAAUAUAUGUGACUUUUUAAAGUGGAAUUUUCAAUAAAUGGUGCUGAGAAAGCUAAUAUUGAUGUAUAGUGUGGGAAGCCACAUGUGCCGUUGCUGAG
rnacentral:lncRNA from 1 species